AUUGAACGCUGGCGGCAUGCCUUACACAUGCAAGUCGAACGGCAGCACGGGAGCAAUCCUGGUGGCGAGUGGCGAACGGGUGAGUAAUAUAUCGGAACGUGCCCAGUCGUGGGGGAUAACGCAGCGAAAGCUGUGCUAAUACCGCAUACGAUCUAUGGAUGAAAGCGGGGGAUCGCAAGACCUCGCGCGAUUGGAGCGGCCGAUAUCAGAUUAGCUAGUUGGUGGGGUAAAGGCCCACCAAGGCGACGAUCUGUAGCUGGUCUGAGAGGACGACAAGCCACACUGGAACUGAGACACGGUCCAGACUCCUACGGGAGGCAGCAGUGGGGAAUUUUGGACAAUGGGCGCAAGCCUGAUCCAGCAAUGCCGCGUGCAGGAUGAAGGCCUUCGGGUUGUAAACUGCUUUUGUACGGAGCGAAACGGUCUGCCCUAAUACGGUGGGCUAAUGACGGUACCGUAAGAAUAAGCACCGGCUAACUACGUGCCAGCAGCCGCCGUAA
rnacentral:rRNA from 1 species